rfam:Corchorus capsularis cultivar CVL-1 contig13930, whole genome shotgun sequence.
AUGCCAUGUUGAGGGCAAUCGACAAAAAGUUUCUUGAAUCUCUCCCAAGCUAGGUGGAAAUUCUCAUCUUUGCGUUGUCGAAAGCUUGUAAUCCUUUGCCUCCCCUU